rnacentral:lncRNA from 1 species
GGGCCGCACCCACGUCAUAUGGAGGUUACCAGAGUAGGGGUCGAAUCGGAGCUGUAGCCACUGACUACACUACAGCCACAGUAAUGCGGGACCCAAGCUGCAUCUGGGACCUACAUCACAGCUCCUGGCAAUGCUGGAUCCUUAAAUUCACUGGGCGAGGCCGGGGAUUGAACCUGUGUUCAUGGAUACUAGUCAGAUUCGUUUCUGCUGAGCCAUGACAGGAACUCCAAUUUUUUGCUUUUUUACCAAAAUUCUAGGUGAGGGUUUCUAACUGUUACUAUUUUGUUUUUAUAAUACUAUAAUAAAGAUUCUCCCAUGAAUAAAUUUCCAAACAAAAAACUUGCUAAGCCAUUUAGUUUGGAAAUGUUCCUUUGCACUAAGACACUAACCCUCACCAAACAUGUAUUUCCAAUAUUUUCUCCCAUUUGCCUGUCUCUGAACUAUAGCUCAAAUUGGCGCUACGAGGUAUUUUUGCUAUAGGCAUGUUCUGAGUAUUCAAGCAAAUAAUCUUCCUAUGGCUUAUAGCCCUAGUGUCACAUCAAGAAGCCCUUUCUGCAAACAACCCACCCAAAGGUUAUAAAAUAUUUCUUGUAAUAAUUUUCUAGUGCUUCUGCGUUUGAUUUUUACAGUUAAAUCUUUAAUCCACCCAGAAUCUCUAUGCGCUGUGGAACGUACAAUUUUCUACUUUAUUUUUCCCAAAAGACACACACUGCCAGUUGAUGUAACAUCUUCGUACAUUAUAAAUCAUCCAUUCCCAACCCAUGUAAAAUAUCACACUAGGAGUUCUUCUGCGGUCCUAUGGGUUAAGGAUCUGGCUUUGCCACUGUUGUGGCUUGCUGCUGUGGCGUGGGUUCAAUCCCUGGCCCAAAGAACUUCCACACCCCCUGGGCACAGGCUGGGCGGGGGACAGCACUUGCAUACAGAAAACUGGCCGUGCCCACAGCAGGCUGAAGUUCCCGGGCCAGAGACUGAACCCUGGCCACAGCAGCAGUGGUCCAAACCACAGCAGUAACACCACCAGAUCCUUAGACUGCUGAGCCACCAGGGAACUCCCUUCUUUCUAUGAAGCAGUAGGUUAUUUACCAAAAAAGAAAGCCUGUUGCCAGACCCGAGGCUCUCAGGAUGAACCACUUUCCUUCGCCUUUUCUGACCAUUCAUUAUUUAACUCUCGUGCCUCAAAGCAGUGACUUCAAUAAUACCACUAAAGACAGAAUUUCACUGUAAAGCACCCUAAAGUCUACUUCAGCUAACCGUUCAGGACAAAGAGCUUAACUGCAGGAUGGAUUGUAUGUCCCUGGCCUCUCUCCCUCGGGGCACCUCUGAGAGGAUGAGGCCGCAGGAGAGGCAGGAGCAGCCACACAGGUGCACCUGGAGCUGGAGCCUUCCCACGCCCCUGCUCGCUCCCCCGGGAAUCACAGCAUCUCAGUCACAGGAAUAAUAAGUGAGAAAGACAAAGGGAUGGCAGUGAAAGGAACCUGUUUGUCUAACUGCAGCUACUCAUCAAGUGCCUGGCUCCUCCUUCCUGCCUCUUCCUGCAGGGGACCCGGGUCCCUCUGGCACUCUCCCCAAGGACAUGUCAAUUCUGCAACAGGCCAGGAUGUACACAGCUUCAGGGCUUACAUUCAGUUUAAAAGGGAAUGUGUACCUGAGCCUGCACCGACUUGUAAUGCUAUGUCAUUAUGUCUUAGAUUAAAAUCUUUUUUGUUUGAAAUGUAAUUCCUCCCCCUCCCAAUCAAAUCAGCUAAUCUCACCUUGUCUCUUUCACAUCUUGAAAUUCUGAGCUUAGCAGGCACUUUACGCAAACUGUCAAGCAUGGAAGGGUAGCUCAAACGACAGGAGGGAUCGUUGGCUGACAGCUAACUCCUUCAACCCAUUUUUCAAAUAGAAAACACAUUAAAUUUGACGUUAAUUCAAACGCUAUUUAACCUCACGAGGCUUACUGCAGAUUGGUCACAGGUGCCACGCCCCAGCCUCUCAACUGGAGGAAGAAGCACACUGACCAGGACAUGCUGUGAAAUCCUGAGCC